GGGCAGCGACGGCAUCUCCGACACGCCUCUUCGUUCGUGGGAACAAGCUGCGGGUUGUCCGCCGUCGGUUUUUUCCUGGGUUGCGUACCCAUUAGAGGGCAUUCGGUUGGCUGAAAUGGUCCCCAUCUCCGCCCUGCGUCGGCGCCCCCAGCGGGCGUGCGGCGAGGGGCGGAUCUCACGGCGGACGUCGUGCUUCGCUCCGCACUCACCGACGAUAUUGGUGUUUGGGCAGGCGACGCAGGACGUGUUGCCCGUAGUCUCGGGUACGGAAGAUCGAGUGGGUACGAGGCAUCGACCUCCGAUCACCACACAAGUGCGUUCCACGCUCUAUGCGGACGACGGCCGCACUCGGCCUUCGGCGGGGCACUCGCUGCUCGGUCGAAGACGCGUCGGCGUCGGUGAGGGAUGCUACCUGGUUGAUCCUGCCAGUAGUCAUAUGCUUGUCUCAAAGAUUAAGCCAUGCA
rnacentral:misc_RNA from 1 species